UACGUAGGGUGCGAGCGUUGUCCGGAAUUAUUGGGCGUAAAGAGCUCGUAGGCGGUGUGUCGCGUCGGUCGUGAAAACUUGGGGCUUAACCCUGAGCUUGCGGUCGAUACGGGCAUCACUGGAGUUCGGCAGGGGAGACUGGAAUUCCUGGUGUAGCGGUGAAAUGCGCAGAUAUCAGGAGGAACACCGGUGGCGAAGGCGGGUCUCGUGGGCCGAUACUGACGCUGAGGAGCGAAAGCGUGGGGAGCGAACAGG
rnacentral:rRNA from 1 species